GCCAGCAGCCGCGGUAAUACGAAGGGUGCAAGCGUUACUCGGAAUUACUGGGCGUAAAGCGUGCGUAGGUGGUCGUUUAAGUCCGUUGUGAAAGCCCUGGGCUCAACCUGGGAACUGCAGUGGAUACUGGGCGACUAGAGUGUGGUAGAGGGUAGCGGAAUUCCUGGUGUAGCAGUGAAAUGCGUAGAGAUCAGGAGGAGCAUCCAUGGCGAAGGCAGCUACCUGGACCAACACUGACACUGAGGCACGAAAGCGUGGGGAGCAAACAGGAUUAGAUACCCUGGUAGUCCACGCCCUAAACGAUGCGAACUGGAUGUUGGGUGCAAUUUGGCACGCAGUAUCGAAGCUAACGCGUUAAGUUCGCCGCCUGGGGAGUACGGUCGCAAGACUGAAACUCAAAGGAAUUGACAGGGGCCCGCACAAGCGGUGGAGUAUGUGGUUCAAUUCGAUGCAACGCGAAGAA
rnacentral:rRNA from 1 species